UGAAUUGAACCAACAAGAACACUAUAGAAUGAAACUCUUAUUCCUUGCAAAUUAACAUGGAAGCCACCCAUUACUGGUUGAUGCUAUUCCAUGUCCUUUGAGAAUGAAUUCUGAUAUCAUUAUGCGAACUUCUAUAAAACCCAACGAAAUGUAGUUAGGUCGCCAAAAGCAAUAAAAUAAUUUCAAUUGCAUCUUUGAAAGAAACAUCCCCUUAGUUGAACCCAUUGCAAAAUAUAAUAUACACAUGGACCAACUAGUUCAAAGAUGAUCGCAGAUGGAAUUCGUGAACUCAGUUGUUGAUGCGGUACCUCCAAGGUCACCUGUUCGAUACUUUCCCUCCGCAAUUGUUUUUAGGAUGGCAUCCUGAAUGCGAUCAGCUUUAUCAUGAAGCUCCAGAUGACGAAGCAUAGAGACAGAACUCAAAAGCAAAGCAGUUGGAUUUGCCAAAUUCUGCAAUCAUAAUUUUGGGUCAGGGGGCGGAGAGGCUGAUUCUGGCACACCCUCAGCCCAAGUAAAGCAUAUCAAAAAGCAAGUAGGUAAAGCAAAUAUAGUAGUGAAAAUCCAUACUAAAAACAAUGAAGAAAACAGUAGCAACAAAAAACAAUAUAAUAACUGAAAUCCACAAGGCACUAAAACUGAAGAAUAAGAUAGAAGAGUUUAAAAAACAAUACGGCCUCAAAAUCCUCCUGGCUAGGGUCAAGCCCUCGGUAAAUUCCAGGUGCGUCAUGUUUUGUCUAAUCACCUCUCCCAAAUACUUCUUCAGCUUACCUCUACCCCUCCUCCAAUCUACUAUACCAUAGUCAACCCCUCACACCUCAUGGUGGCAUGCUUGCAUCUCCUCUUUACAUGCCCAAACCAUCUCAAUUUCACCUCAUUCAUCUUGUCCACCACAAAGGUCAUUUCCACCUUAUCUCAAAUAUCUUUGUUCAUAAUUCUAUCUCUCCUAAUAUGCCCACACAUCCAUCUCAACAUCGUUAUUUCUGCUUUGUUUUCAUCGUCUGAACGUACAAGUUCUUGACCGGCCAACACUCCGUUACAUACAAUAGUUGGUCUGACCACCAUUUUACAUAACUUACUUUUAAGGCUUGAGAGCACAUUUUAUCACACACCACAUCAGAUGUGAGCCCUCAUUUCAUCUACCCCACUCCAAUAUGAUGUAACAUCCUCCUCUUUUCAUCCACCCCACUCCAAUACGAUGUGUAACAUCCUCGUCAAUCACCUCAUUCCCUUGAUUUAUUCACCCAAAUACUUGAACUUCCUCUGUUGCAGACAACUUGCAUAUUGGUCCUCACUUCCACGUCUGUCAUGUGAAUAACGUCAGUGAACUUGCACUCCAUUUAUUCCGUCUUAGUCAUGCUCAACUUGAACCCUUUAGACUCUAAAAGUCUUAUCUCCAAACCUCCAACCUGUCAUUAACUCUACCAUAUGUCACAUCAAGGAGUGUUCAUGGUUCAAUUUGGAUCGAUUUUUGAUUAAAACCAAAAUCAAACCAAUUUAGUCAAUUUUUAAAUUUCUAAAACCAAACCAAAUAAAAAAAUAACAAUCGAUUUGGUUCUUGUCAAUUUGGUUCGAUUUUCCAGUUUAUAACUAGCUUAAGAUAAUUUUUUUCGAUCAAAUUUUGGGCUUUUAUUACCUAAUCAAAUAAAAGUACAAACAUGUAGGCCAAGCAGCCCAAAAACAAAACAAGAUGCAAUAAAACAAACACAACAAAUUUAAAAUAAUCCUAAAGCCCCACUCAGCCACCCAGAAGCAAGUCCAACCCGCUUUCAUUUUAUUACAUAUACCCAAAAAAGAGGGUUUCCUAUUCUCACUUUCAACCUAACAUUUUCCCUGCCCCUCCACACCUCCACACCUGAGCAAUGUUGCCGCUGCAUUUGGUUUCUCCUCCUACUGCUUUGGAUCAUCAAUACUCUUCCUUUGGGAGCUCGAUUUGCUUAAAAAUCAGCUUUCAAGAGUAAGUAUUCUUCUCUCCAGUUUGCCGCCUUUUUCGAUUUCUUUCACUGGCUAUUGUUUCCUUCUUAGCUGUGUUCUUCGGUGGGUGGAUAUGCUUUACAUAUUUUGCUGAAAGUUCCCAUCAGCGGAAUGAGACUUGUGAUACUGGGUAAGCUUCAAUACUCCUCCCUUUGCAUUUCUGUGGUAUAGUUCUGACCAAUCUCCCUUUGCAGGCGGAUUCGAUGUUGAGUGCAUGGGAAGCUCGACACAUCCACCCCAUAGUGAGCAAAUCAACCUCCAAGUUUAUCAUUACUAAAUCGACCCUAAAACCUUCCCAUUUCGCCGAGUCCUUUUUGAUAGCUGAAGUAGUGUAGGCUAUAUAGCAUUUCACUUUUUUUGAACCCUUUGUGGAUAUAUAAAUAUUGGUCAAGUGAAAAACCUUGUGUUUUAGCCUUCACUACCCCAUUAUCCAUUAAUAGGUGAUACUCUUAAGUAUGGGCACUUUAGGUUGUCAUUGUUGAUGAUCUUCUUUCCUAUUGUUUCCAUAUCGUUAAAACACACAAAAAUGUAGUUCCCUUUAUCUAUUGCUAGAUUUGCUAGGUCUGCAAGUUGAUUGCCCUCCCUUAUGAUAUGCUAAAAUUUUGUUUUCUUUUUUGCAGAAAUGAGAUUUAUAUCUGCAAUCAUGUUGGUAAUACUCCAUGGACAUGCCCACUCACCAUCUAGAACUUUACAAAGGAGUAAUGAAUUUGUUUGUACUAUUAUGUUGUUAUGUUGUGUCAUCUUGCAAUGUUUACUAGCUUCUAGGGUAGAUGUUGCUUCUGUCACUGUGUUAGUAGCGUUAUCUGAAGUAGUCCCCUUUGCAUAUUGUAGAUCACCAUUAGCAUCUCUUAGGCAAAAAAAGCAUAAGAACAUACCCCCAAAAUUCCUCUAGAUGCUCCAUCAGUAUUGUAAUUGAUCCAUGGAAACUCCCAUAAUUCUUUUAUGACUUUCACCCUAGGUUUGAAUUCAUUUCGCUCCUUUAGCAUUCCUGGUCAAUUUUCUGGAAGGUUUUCUCAUUCUGAGUAGCAUAUGCAUGAUUGCUAGGUAAUCUGCAAGUUGAUUGCCCUCCCUUAUGAUAUGCUAAAAUUUUGUUUGCUUUUCUGCAAAAAUGAGAUUUAUAUCUGCAAUCAUGUUGGUAAUGCUCCAUGGACAUGCCCACUCGCCAUCUAGAACUUUAUAAAGGAAUAAUGAAUUUGUUUGUACUAUGAUGUUAUGUUGUGUCAGCUUGCAAUGUUUACUGGCUUCUAGGGUACAUGUUGCUUCUGUCACUGUGUUAGUAGUGUUAUCUGAAGUAGUCCAAGUUGCAUAUAGUAGAUCACCAUUAACAUCUCUUAGGCAAAAAAAGCAUAAGAACAUACCAUCAAAUUUCCUUUGGAUGCUCCAUCAGUGUUGUAAUUGAUCCAUCCUUCUAGGAAAACUCCCAUAAUUCUUUGAUGACCUCCACCUUAGGUUUGAAUUCAUCUAGCUCCUUUAGCAUUCCUCGUCAAGUCCCUAGAAGGUUUUCUCAUUCUGAGUAGCAUAUGUAUGUUUCUGACGACAUUAUAAUAAUCCUCAAAACAAUCAACCUCUUCCCUUCGUAUUGGCUAAUGUUUCUAUUCUUCCACAUUUCCCAUACUAUAAUGCUUGGAAGAGUCUUAUAGUAUGGUUUAAGAUCUUUCUUCACUACAGUUCCCCACCAUAGCAUGAUCAACACUCUUAGACUAAGGCCUUCAAUAUUCAAUCUUGCAAAUGGGCAAAAGUAGGACCAUCUCAUGUUAGCAAUAAAUGAUCUUAAGAACACAUAUGCUAAUGUCUCUUGAUUUGGAUUUCAGCACCAAACAUCUAGAGGUUUAUUCCCAAUCUCCUCAAUUUGUCAGCCAUUGAAAUUUUAAAUUUCCAGAGCCUCCACAUGAAAAUAUAAUCCACAUGAAAAUAUAAUCGUGACAGGUAACCGUUUGAUCCAUAUCCACUUAUACUAUCUUAUUUGGCAGUGAACACCCCUUCUAUACUCAGCAUCCAAUAUGGUCUGUCACACUCACUCUCUUGAUUGGGUGGCUUAACAUUUUGCACCAUAUGUUCCACUACCUCAACAGUAAAUAUUCCACCCAGUAUCACUAAGUCCCAUUCUCCAUUCUUAGUUGCUUCAUCCCCUUGUAAGUAUACAAAUCUUCCAACCCAGGCCAGUUAUCAUGCCACGCCACACUAUAGAGGAUCAUUUUUUAAUGUUCCACCAGAUUUGAUGCUCUACCAAGUCUAGUUUGCUAGAUUUUCUUCCAUACCUGUGAUCCUCCCCUUCUCAUUUUCCAUAUUACCAAAUUACAAUGGACUUUGUUUUUCAUGUACUCACUCCAAAUGAAGUUUUAGGUUCUGAAAUUCCAGCACAGUUUACGAAACAAUGCCAUGGAUAUAUCUUUGAUUGAUCUGAAACCUAAUCUUCCUUCUUCCUCUGGUAAGCAUAAAUUCCUCCACUUAAUCCAAUGUCUACCUUUUCAUCAAAUAUAGCUACUCCAAAGAAAUUAUGUCAUCAACUGAUGAAUUUGGUUCAACACAUUUUGAGUGAGGGUUCAUAAUUGACAAGCAAUGUAUAGGAAUACUUUGAAGCACAUGUUUAAUCAGAAUUGCCCUCCCGCCAUAAGAUAAUGACUUUCCUUUCCAUGCAUGUAGUUUGGAGCUGAUUCUUUUGAUCAUCUGAUUGUAGUAACUCUUUUGCUUUUUCCUGUAGAAAAUAGGACCCCUUAUGUGGGUAAAGGGAAAGUCUUUCCUUAGUAUGCCCCUUGCUACUUCUGCUAAUAUCACAUCCCUUCCUGAUGCAUUAUGAUGCUUGUCGAUAGCACUUUUUUCCUUGUUGAUCUUCUAGCAUGAUGUUCCUUCGUACUUUUUCAGUGUGUCAGCCACUAUUUUCAUAUUACUUGCCUCUACUUUGCACAAAAUCAUCACAUUAUCUGCAAAGGCCACGUGAUUUAUUACUGGGCUUCCUCUUGGCAUGCCAAACCAUUUAAACUCUUUUUUUCAUCGGUAUAGAGUUUAGUGCUCUAGAUAGAACCUCAGCUGCUAGAAGAGCAGAGUAGCUGUUUCAGUCCUCUGGAUGAAUUGAAAAAUUCUUUAGGCUGACCAUUCAACAAGAUUUGAGUACCAGUUGUUUACUAUCAACCUAUACACCAUAUCAAUUAUCCUUUCACUAAAACCAAUUUUCUUUAUGACUUAGCAAUAGAAAGAACCAUUCUACUCUAUCAUAAGCUUUCAUCAUAUCUAGCUUGAUUACCAGAUUACGAGGUUUACCCCUUUUCCUGAUUUCAGCUAUGAUCUCUUGUACAAACAAUACAUUUUCAACAAUACUUCGUCCCUCUACAAAACCAGCUUGUUCACUAGAGAUGAUCCUAGAAAGUACUGCCUUGAUUCUUCCAUGUACGAUCCUAGAGAAUAUUUUGUUGAUAAAAUUGCUUAGAGGUAUGGAUAUUAAGUCAGAAAAUGUGUUCACCAUCACCUUCUUAGGAUGUUUGAGUUACAAACCUAGGAAGUUUUGCUCCACGAAAGAAAGAUCGUACCAUCUUGUAAAUGUCCUCUCCAAUUAUCUCCAAUGUAUCUUGAUAGAAAGCUUCCGUCUGGCCCACUUGCAUUAUUUCCAUUUAAUCCCAAGACUACUUCAUGUACUUCCUCCUUAGUUGGCAUGCUUUGCAACUUAUUAUUUUCUUCACUUCCUAUUACCGUGGGUAGCUCAUCCGGCAUAUCAAAAUUGGUACUACCUGGUUGUUUCUUGAAUUGGUCUUUGUAGAAUUGCAUUGUUACUUUUGCAAUAUCUUCCUCUUGUUCCAACCAAAGUUGCUCGGACUCUUCAAAAAUGUCUACGGGUGCGUGUCGGAUCCUCCAAAAAUAGUGUAUUUCUAAAGGAUCCGACACGGGUGCGGCAGCAUUUUUGGAGAGUCCGAGCAACUUAGGUUCCAACCAUUCCCCUUCUUCAUAUUGUACACUAGUCAACCUCAAUCUGCUUCUUCUCCCAUUAACUACAGUAUGAAAAAACUUGGUGUUCCUUUCCCAUCUUUAAACCACUCCUUUCCUACUUUUUGCUUCCAAACUCCUCCACUUUGUGUAAGUAUCUGUUCAGUUUUGCCUGAGCUUCAUGUAAUCUCUCUAUUUGCACUUGCUGGAUUCCUCUUAAAUUGCAUUUCCUGCACUUUAUUCACCUCCUCCAAAGUGGCAAUUUCCUGAAAGAUAUUACAAAAUGUUGCUUUGCUCCACUGUGAAAUUGCCUCGACUUUCUUCAUUUUAAAUUGAUACACAGAAAAAGAAUUCCCUAAAAAGUCAACCUGCCUAAUUUGUCUGACAACCUCCAUAAAAGGAUCUCUUUUCAACCAGAAAUUUUUUAGAAGAACUAGCUAAUGAUAAAUUGAUAAUAAUAAAAUAAUGGAGACAUGAAACAAAUAUAUCAACAAGAUGAAUGUAUUUGAAUCUUUAAUAGUUGCAUAAUUGUAAAAGUUACUCCAUUUCACAUGUGUAACAUCCACAAAGUUAAUAUACAGCUUUAAAUAAAAUGGUCAAACCUUCAAAAAUCAAAAGGGAAAGUCAUCGAAAAGUAAAUGGAUGUCUUAGUAAAAUUAUUAAAAACCGGCAACACAUAUAGAUAAUUAGACUUAGGAGAGUGAGAUUUAAGCAUAUUUUUUGAGAAAUGGAAUUUAAAAGUGUUGUAGUGCAUGGGAAAGAAGUAAACUAAAAUCAAUUUAAUGAUUAAAAGAUUUAAAUAUUUAUAAUUAUUUAUUUUUGAAAUUGGCAAAUAUAUAUAAUUAUUUAUGAAAAAAUAAUAUCUGAUAUUCAAAUAAUUAUGAAAUUAAUGUACAUAAUUUAUCGGUUUGAUUUGGUAACCUUUUUUUAUUUUUUUUAGUAAAACCAAAACUAAACCAAAAAUUGACAUUUUUCAAAGUUGAAACCUAAAUGAAACCAAAUGUCGGUUUUUUUAUAAUCGGUUUGGCUUAGUUCACGUUUUUGUUUGGUUUUUCACCAAACCAUGAGCACCCAUACUCACCAAUCAGAACUAUGUCAUAUGCAAAUAGCAUACACCAUGGCACCUCUCCUUGGAUAUGAUGUGUCAGUUCAUCCAUUACCAAGGCAAAUAGAGACGCGCAAAUAAAUCCAUAUUUGCGGCUCAAAACACAUCCAGCAAUUUUUAAUCGGAAGAUUGACCAACUCAAGAAAUCGUACAAUCUGAUGACAUGCUUCAGUAACACCUCUCAAGAUGUUUAACCAAAGAAAAUUCUUUUAAGACAUUAGGAUGGUGCAUGACAACUAGAAUUGCUUUUGGAAUCCUAUGGUAGACAGCAGCCAAGCAUGAUUUAAGCUAUGGUUAAGAAGUGAAGAGCCCAAAACGUUAUUAAAUUCAGUAGUUACAGUGAGAUGCAGAAGAAUGUCUAUAGUGCCAGUUGACAGAGAUCUCAACAAUAGUUGAUCUAUUUCUAUAUAUUUGAAUUUUUGUAAUAAUAGUAUUAAUAGAAUAUGUGAAGAUUCAUGGACAACCAUCCAUAAAAAUGCCUCAACAAUAACACCAAUAGACUAACACUUCAUAAUUAUGUGUUGCGUGUCCAAACAAUGCUUUAGACAUAUAUACCUAUCGCAUUGACUCUUAACAUAGUAGCAGAACUCAAAUUGUAGCUAAGAUAUGAGAUUAAGCUUUUUUGAGAUCAUAUUAUGAUUCUCAUCAUAACAAAAAUAAGAGAUCAAUUACCAGUAAUACCAAUAAUUGUCAUAAAUGUCUUGUAAACUACCCUUACUUCAAUUGAUAAUUAACUGUUGUAUCUAAACUCUCAGUUUUCCUGAUCAAUUUUACUAAUUUACAUGUUAAGUCAGUUACUUUUGGUUCAUAACCAUCUCAAUCUAAAUGUUUAUUCUCCUAAAUAGCAUUAAGCCAAGAACUUUUUGAAAAUUGUUUGACCUAAUCCCUGUGGAGACGAUAUUUUUCCAUACUGAAGUUGACGCAGUACGAACUCAUUUUAUAGUGUGUUUGUUCUCAUCAGUAGCAAAGUCUGAUAUCAACGUAAACUAAUCACCAAUAUGUAUUAUUGCGCAUUAAUUAUUUAUUACUAAUAGGAUUGAAGGGCAUCAUGACAAAUUAAAUGGAAAAUACUCCUCCUAUAGUUCACAUUAAUAGACUGCAAGCUGAUUUAGCCUACCCGAUGUGAGUGCAAAACUACAUCAAAAAAGUAAAUAAUAGUAACUACAGCUAUAAAUAUUAUAACUAGGAAAUGUUAAAGUUACUUUUUCAGAAAAAGAUAGGAAAUACAAAACAUAUACAUACAACAAACAUGUGUGUGUGUGUCUGUACAUAUAUGCACAUAUAAAUACAUGUAAGUGUGCCCAAGUUGAAUGGAGUUGUAUAUAUAUAAAAAUUGAAUGGAGUGAAAUAUCAGUGUUUAAAAAUCGUUGAAUCACUAUUUAUUUUAACAUCAAAGUUAUGAAAUGACACAAAAAGUUGACCUCUAUUUAGGGAGCGAUACAAGAAGAUACCCACCUAAUAAUUGAUUGAAUGUUGUAAUAGUUGAUGAUUAAAUGAGAUUCUGAUUAUAGAAGCAUUGGGACAUGAUAUCCUAUUUAAAUACAAACCUUUCCGGCAAUAUCAGGUGCUGAACCAUGCACGGCCUCAGCAAGAGCAAUACCUCCCUCGCCAAUAUUGCAACUGUAGGAGAAACAUCAUUAGGAAUAACGAGACAAAAUGAACUCACAAGGGAAAUCAGAUAGGUUUAAAGAAAAAAAGGCAUGCCUAGGAGUUAAGCCCAAACCACCAAUUAAACCAGCACAAAGAUCACUGAUUAUGUCUCCAUAAAGGUUAGGCAUCACCAGAACAUCAAAAAGUGCUGGAUUUUUCACAAGCUGCAUGCAUGAAAAGGAAGUACGUUAUUUGAACCACAAUUUUCUAAAUAGUAUUUAUGAAACUUAAAAUGAGGCUCGGUCCAACAACAACAACAACAACAAACCCAGUGUAUUCCCACAAAGUGAGGUCUGGGGAGGGUAAAAUGUACGCAGUCCAUACCGCUACCUCCGAAGAAGUAGAGAGGUUGUUUCCGAUAGAAAAUAAGGCUCGGUCCAAUACUGUUAAAACAUUCUUGAACUUAUUCAUGGUUGUUCAUUAAGAUGAAGAUCUAUAAGACUGGUGUCACAAUGAAGUGAUUGAUCUUUGAUCAUACCAUCAUACAGCAAUUGUCAAUGACAACUUCCUCAUACUUUAUCUCAGGGUACUUCUCCGCAACCUCUCGGCAACACUGGAUAGAAAGAAAGAAAGUCAACACCAUAGUGCUAGUUCAUAAAACAUAUAACUAUAACGAAACACCUGACAUAAGGAUAGACCUUAAGAAAAAGACCAUCUGUCUUUUGCAUGAUGUUGGCUUUGUGAAUUGCAGACACACUCUCUCUUCCGUGGGUCUUGGCAUAGUGAAAUGCGUACUCUGCAACCCUUAAACUUGCUUGACGGGUGAUGAUCUUGAGACUCUCAACCACACCCCUUACUACCUGGAUACCAAAUGCAUAUGAAUUUGAAGAUCUCAAGAAAUAAGCUAUUUUCUGUUAAAUAAUAUAGAGAGAUACUUACCUGAUGUUCAAGACCACUGUACUCUCCUUCAGUGUUUUCUCUAAUAGUGAUGAGAUUCACAUCAUCGUAGCGAGUCUUGUAUCCAGGUAGGCUGUAGCAAGGUCUAACAUUGGCAUAUAGAUUUAACUCCUUCCUCAAUGUAAGAUUCAAGGAACGAUGACCUUUUCCGAUAGGAGUGGCCAUUGGCCCUUUCAAACCAACCUUAUUCCGUCUCACUGAUUCAAGACUUUCCCAUGUUAGAAAACUGUUGGUUCUAGGGUCUAUCUCUUUCCCCACAUAGUGUUCUUCCCAUUCAAUUGGUACCUUAGCAACCUUGAAUAUCUGUACUAUUCAAUAAAAUUUAGCAAUUUAUAACCCAACAUUUUAAGUAAUAGAAAGCCUCGCUCCGAGGCAGAUAUAGAGUAUCGAUACCGGGUUCAUUUGAACCCGGUGCUUCCGAUGCAGAGCAUAAACUUGUGUUUAAAGCUUCACGAAAAAUGCAACAAAUAGUAUACACGAACCCAUGAUUUUUUAGUACAAUUGGGACAAUGCUAAAAACCUCAAAGGUUGAACCCUUAAAAUUUAAAUCCUGGGUCCGUCUCUGAGGGAAGCACAUCCACCAUUAGCUUCCAUUAUUUACUUUUUUUAAAAUCAAGGAAGCUUUUAUUCAUUUAGCAUCCAAAAAAUGCAAAAGGAUUACACAUCAACUUUCAUUAUUGUGGACAGUCAAGAAGAAAAAUGCCAAGCAAAAUAGCAAAAUAUAACCAACCAUAAUGCCCGUGAACCUCCGGGCAGGAUUAGCAGAAGAACUCUUUGCCACACUCCCACAUCUUGGUAAAAUUAAUAAGGACAGGAUAUUUACUUGUCCUUUUCAAUACUAAAUGAUUUGACUUGAUGAUAAGAAAAUUUGAAACAUAAUCAACAAGGGAAGUAGCAUGUCCUUUCAUCCAAAACAAAAAAGAGAAGCUAUAGUAGUGGUACCAAAGAGUGCAUUUACUCUAUUGCAAUUAUGAUUUAGUACGAGUAUCAAUAUAAGCACAACAAAAACAUGCUAUUGGGGUCUGUAGGGGUAGUGUGUACACAGCCUUGCCCCUACCUUGUGAAGCUAGAGAGGCUGUUUUGGAAGGACCCUCAGAAAAGCACAAAAACAACAUACCUAGUGUAGUCCCACAAGUGGGUCUUACCAUGAAAUUAAGAAAAACUUACAACACGCGACAAGAGGAAAUGUCCAACCCUUAUGAAGAAAGGUUACUGCAUUAUCUCAAUUCUCAAGACAGCCUUUUGGUUAUCACUCUUAUCAAAAAGGACAAAUGAUGACGCUACAACGUUUUGCUUUGGCCAAAAUUCUAUUUCAACAUUGGACAAGAAUUAUGAAAAGGGAGCAUUUCGCGAGUGCAACAGGGAGAGACAGUGGCCAAACCAGAGGUUCAACCUACCAAGUACUAUCUAAUAUUCCAUGUGCAAAUUUGUUACAAGAAAAUAGAGGCAAAAAAGGGUGGAUGCUGCAAGCAAGCAGUGGGAAUAUUAAUCCGCAUCUAAUUAUAUAUAUCUAGUCUAGGGAAACAACAAAAGAACGCAAUAUUUCCAUCGAAAUCAAGAGAAAUCAGAAGCAAUAAAGGAAGAAAGGAGAAGAAGCGGACCUGCUUGACGGACUCAGCGAUCUCAGGGCCAAUACCAUCGCCGGGGAAAAGAGUAGCGCGGAUCAAGUUGGAUUCGGAAGCUGCGGAAGUGAAGGUCCGACCCAAAUACCUAAUAGACGGUGCAACUGAAUUACCGCCGCCUCCAAGGAAUCUUCUCGCAAUCUGAAAAGCCAUUGUCUUCAAUCCUUCGGAUUGCAAAUUGUUGAUGUAAAAAGAUACUAUUAUGAGAAAGAAAGUUUAAUAAAAAAGAAAAAGUGUAAACGGAAAGAGAAAUAAUGCUUCUUUGAACUUGAAAUGGUCCUUAGCGGAGUUGGUGCUAGUCAUGGCUAAACUAAGCUAGCGUUUGUCCAUGCAUUUCUAAAUAUUUUUAAUAAAUUAUAUUUAAGUUAAAAUUUAAAAGUUUCAAUAUAUUUUCAUCAUAAUAUUUAAAAAAUAUAUUUGAAAGGUAAAAUUGUACUUGUAAGAUACUUACAAAAGAAAAGAAGGCUAAUUUUUAAAACUUUUUAUAUAAAGGUCAAAAAUCAAAAGUCAUCCACUAGAGGUUAUAGUAAGAGUAUCAAGUGAGCCGGGUCACGCACCUAAAGAAACCAGCUCGGUUUGACCCAGCCCGUUAAGCCCAAGAGUUUUAGGGUAUCGAAUUCUACGCCGAUUUUUUUAUUUGGGCCCGAUUAACUCGGUUUGAAUUAAUAUUUUUUUAAUUUUUUUAAUUUUGGAUUUUGGGUCAAACUAGUCGUUGGCCCAAUGGCUAUACAGACGUUUUUGGGUUCAAAUGGCUAGUUUGGACCAUUAAUUAAAAAAAAAAUACUUUUAAAAUAAUUUUUUAAUCCCAAAAAAAAUCUAUAAAUACCCUACACCUCCAAAUCAUUUUUCACACAAUAUAUAUAUAUUGAAAUGUAUAUAUAUUGUAUUGUAUAUAUAUUGUAGUAUAUAUUGUAAUGUAUAUAUAUUGUAGUAUAUCUUAUUUAAAGUAGUACAUAUAUAUUGAAUGGUGCGUAUACAUGUAUAUAUAUUUUAUAAAGUAGUAUACAUGUGUAUAUAUAUAUAUAGAUAUAUACUAAUUUUGUAAAACAUAUACACAUGUAUACGUGAAAUAUACACGUCCAUAGAAGAUAUAUACAUAUACAUACGCACCAUUCAAUAUAUAUGUACUACUUUAAAUAAGAUAUACUACAAUAUAUAUAUAUUGUAAUGUAUAUAUAUUGUAGUAUAUCUUAUUUAAAGUAGUACAUAUAUAUUGAAUGGUGCGUAUACAUGUAUAUAUAUUUUAUAAAGUAGUAUACAUGUGUAUAUAUAUAUAUAGAUAUAUACUAAUUUUGUAAAACAUAUACACAUGUAUACGUGAAAUAUACACGUCCAUAGAAGAUAUAUACAUAUACAUACGCACCAUUCAAUAUAUAUGUACUACUUUAAAUAAGAUAUACUACAAUAUAUAUAUAUUGUAAUGUAUAUAUAUUGUAGUAUAUCUUAUUUAAAGUAGUACAUAUAUAUUGAAUGGUGCGUAUACAUGUGUAUAUGUUUUACAAAAUUAGUAUAUAACUAUAUAUAACUAUAUAUAACUAUAUAUAUAUAUACACAUGUAUACUACUUUAUAAAACAUAUACACAUGUAUACGCACCAUUCAAUGUAUAUAUAUAUAUAUAUUGAAUGAUGCGUAUAUAUGUGUAAUUGUGUAUAUAUUUUUUAAAUUCUAAUGUAGUAUAUACUAUAUAUAUAUAGUGUAUAUAUAUAUUUUUUAACGUAUUUACAAUGUAUAUAGGUGGUUAUAUAUAAUGUAUAUUGAAUUUUUUUUAAAAAAUAUUUUGACUGGGUUUGAUCGUUUUUUUAACCGGAUUUAACCGAUUUUUUAAUCGGGUUGGGUUAAGUGGGCUGGGUUAGGGUUGUUUUUAUAAGUUUUACUAUUGAGCCCGACCCGGCCCACUUAACCCCAACCCAGCCCGGCCCACAACUCGAUUAUUUUUUACGGGCCGGUUCCAGGUUGGCCCGGCCCGACCCACUUGACAGCCUUAGGUUAUACCAUGUAAUUUCCCCUCAAGUAUGCGAGGUUAAUGAAAUAUACCUUCACAGAAUAAAAUAAUCCACUUCAACAAAUAGUUGUACCUCAAAUUUGCCGAAUCACGAACUCACUCAACGAUGUGUAUAUCAUACUUGAAUUUUUUAAAGAAAAACAGUGUUUUUACUUCAAAAUUUUCGUACUAAAACCUGUGAAAAAAAUCAGAUAUUUAUAACCAAAAAGUGUUGUUUCAAAUAGAAAGCAAUGAUUCAUGAAAAGGUGCAACUUUUUGAAAUGACGCCCACCUUCGGACUCCAAUUACGGCCCCAAAUGACCACAUGCGGCCGCUGGUUGCACUUUCUCCAAAAACAGAAAGUUUUCGUCCAACCUGCGCUCAUUAGCUAAAUAUAUUCAAUAGCUUUUUUAAGGGGAAAGGACAAAAAUAGCACCUAAAACUAAAAUAAUAUCACAAAAAUAACACCCAUAAUUAAAUACUCAGUAAAUAGCCAUUAAGCGAUGGCUAACUUUCGGCACAACACAAUUCGGCCCUUUCCGUCACUUUUCAUCUUUAAUGACCAUGCUUUUUUUGGCUCCUUUUUCCUUUCUUUUUUUUUUUAAAGAUUCUACUCUUUUUUAUUCCUUUUAAACAAUUGAGUAAUUGUUUUUUUUUUUUCAAAUUAUUUUGCACUCACCAACAUUAUUAAAAUAACACUCUUGGUUUUGUUUAGUUCUACUUAUUUAUAUAAUACCAUAUACUUUAAUAUAAUACAAUUGUUAAAGAUAUAUAAUAAUGAUACAAUUUCUAAUUAUAUACAUAUUUUUUAUAACAUUUUUAUACACAUUCUAUACAAUUUUUAACUAUAAUUAUUAUUUAGAUACAUAUUUUAUACGACUCUAUGUAGUUUUUAUACACAUUCUAAAAAUGUAUCAAUCUAAUAUAAGAGAGCAUCAAUUGAGUAUAUGAAUAUUGAAAGUGUAUCAAUGUAGUAUAAAAGUGGAUUAAUGUGUUAUAAAAGAGUAUCAAUUGAAUAUAGGGAUUGCAUGUGCCUGCAUAGAAUUUUCUUUCUCUUUUUUAAAAGUGUAUCAAUAUAGUAUAAAAAUAUAUCAAUGUGGUAUGAAAAUGUAUCAAUUGAGAAUAGAGACUGUAUGUUCCCAAUUGGACCAAAUGGCUAAAAAGAAAAUUACUUUAACCGACUAACUACAUUAUGUCCACCUUUUCAAUUAUGGAUCAUUUUUUUUUUUUUAAAUGGACAUCCCAUGUCCUUUUCCCUUUUUUUUUAAAUUCAAAAUUUAUUGUUUAAUAAUUAUGUGAGUCCAUAUGCCACAUAUAUGAUUUUACUCAUCAUUUUGCUCUACCCCCAGGUGUUAGUUCUACGCGGCAUACUUUUUGGAGUUGUGGUCAUUUUGUAUUUAAUAGGCAUACGUUUAUUAACAUUGGAGCGUACGCCGAAACUAGACUAGCUUAAGGGGUUGCCUAUGGAUGUUCCUCAACAAUGAUGUUCCAGAAAAAAUAACAAGGUUUAACUAAUUGAAAGUUCACUUGUGUUUACAAUUUCCAUGAGCAAUUGACAACAAUCACCCAGAAAUAUAGUUAUCUCAAACAGAAAGACAUCAAAGAUUUUAGUAGUCCACAGUAAAUGAUCAAAAUAAGCAUUAUAUUUUAGCAUGACACCGAAUUUAUCAAACAAUCCACUGGAAGUCCUGAAAACCCACCAAGUUCAACAUAACUCCUACAAUAUAAGAAUACCAACAAAGAUCUGCCAUUGCUCUGUAGAUACUUGAGGAAAAGAAAAUUGAAAUACUAUAAUGAUAUAAGCAAGAAUAUCAUGAAUUGAACCAACAAGAACACUAUAGAAUGAAACUCUUAUUCCUUGCAAAUUAACAUGGAAGCCACCCAUUACUGGUUGAUGCUAUUCCAUUUCCUUUGAGAAUGAAUUCUGAUAUCAUUAUGCGAACUUCUAUAAAACCCAACGAAAUAUAGUUAGGUCGCCAAAAGCAAUAAAAUAAUUUCAAUUGCAUCUUUGAAAGCCCCUUAGUUGAACCCAUUGCAAAAUAUAAUAUACACAUGGACCAACAAGUUCAAAGACGAUCGCAGAUGGAAUUCGUGAACUCAGUUGUUGAUGCGGUACCUCC
rnacentral:lncRNA from 1 species